rnacentral:rRNA from 1 species
GAUGAACGCUGGCGGCGUGCCUAAUACAUGCAAGUCGAGCGAACAGACGAGGAGCUUGCUCCUCUGACGUUAGCGGCGGACGGGUGAGUAACACGUGGAUAACCUACCUAUAAGACUGGGAUAACUUCGGGAAACCGGAGCUAAUACCGGAUAAUAUAUUGAACCGCAUGGUUCAAUAGUGAAAGACGGUUUUGCUGUCACUUAUAGAUGGAUCCGCGCCGCAUUAGCUAGUUGGUAAGGUAACGGCUUACCAAGGCGACGAUGCGUAGCCGACCUGAGAGGGGGCACGGCACAACGGGAAUUGGGCCCCGGUCCGAACCCCACGGGGGGGCCGCGGUGGGGAAUCUUCCGAAAGGGGGCAAAGCCUAACGGAGCAACCCCGGGGGAGGAAAAAAGGUUUUCGAUUCGUAAAACCCUGUUUUGAGGGAAAAAAAAAUGGGAAAGUAACUAUGCCCCUCGUGACGGUACCAAAUCAAAAAGCCACGCCAAACCACGU